ensembl:lncRNA
AGAAGACAGCGCGCUAGCGUAUCUAGUCUAUGUAUAUCUAUGGUCGGCACGUCUGGUAGCAUCUCUGGCUGCUGUUGACCUUGUUUUUGGAGUAAAACACGGUGGAAGCUGAAUUAGUGAGGAUGACUCCUGCUCCUGUCAUCUCUAAGCUCCUCACACAUCUUUACCUGCACAUGAGGAAAAUCACUCCUGUAGAAUGCAGAUGUUCAGAGGGAGAUGAUGCCACAUCUGGUCCAGCUGAUGGAAGGUCUUGAAGUUCUCUGACUGGCCUCGACUGAAGAUGGUCGUCUCACUGGAUUUAAGGUUCAGAUGCUCAGUAACAAACUCCACCAAUGAGCCAACAGGGAAGCUUGAGGUUUAUUAAAUGUUGCUAUGAAGGUAUCGCUGUUUUUCUUAGUGAAUGCAAUGUGCUCCAACUGAAACUUGAAUUAGAACUUAGAAGUAAAUCCUUCCAUCUGACAGGAUUUAGUUGCAUUAAUAACCUCAUAACAUUCUAAUUUUUAUUCCAGUCUUGGUUGAAAAUAGAAUCUCUGUAUUGAUUCAGGUAAAAACUGAACUUCACAGCAUGUUGGAGCAAAACAACCAGAUGAAAACUGUGAUGGUGUUGGAUUGUCAGACCGUAAUGUUGCAGCUCAAAGCAGCUUUUCUAUCUCAGUUCAUUCUGACAUUCAGCUAUGAAUCAACACAGCAGAUGGUGAUCCAUGCUGUGGAAGUCUCACAUCUCCUGAUUUAAUGGAGCUGCUUUGCACUUUUUACACUGUUUAUUCACCAACACUUUAUUUAAUAAAAGUCCCAUCUAGUUUUUAUGAGGAAUGUGAUGUUUUAAUUUCUCUGUGAAUAACUGCAGUCUAAUGCAACAGCUGGAGUUGUAACAUCUGUCCUGAUAUUGAUCAUGAAGUAUUGAUCAGAAUACUUAUGAUUAGCAGUCAUCCCUGAAGUUUUACAUUAAAAUCUUUACUUGUGUUGUGAACUUUGGUAAGAAGCAGAAACUUUAGCGUUGCCAUGGAUACAUGAGUGUUAAAUUCUGUCCAUGUUUCCAUUUUGGGAAAUUCAGUCCAGUUCCAGAAUGUGGAGGAAUUUAGUCUCAAUCACAGUCAACAAAUAUUAUCUGAAAGUCGGGUUAUUGUUGUUUAUCAGCACAAUAGAAAAAAGAUUAAUGUUAGAAAUAUUCCAGUUAAGACUCUAGAAUAUCAUGAUUUAUGUAAAUUUACCUCAAUAAUAUGAAUGUUCAGUUUGAUUGUGCAGUGAUUUUUAUUCUGUAAGUUCAGCUGAUUAAAGUUUGACUCUGCACUACAAUAUUAUUUAUUAUUUAAAUUUACAUCAUUAUUAUAAUAUUUAGGGUCAGACCCUACAGUAUUGAGAUUAAGAAAUCAAAUAUUCUAUAAAAUGUAAAUAUACUGAACUCAUUUGGAUAUAUUUAAGUGAGACUCUACAAUAUUAUUUGACACAAAUGUAUCUAAAUCAAAAUUUUAAUAAUUUUCAUGCCAAACAUUUACUGGACUGAUUUAAAUAUUAAAAUCACUCCUUUCUAAUCCUCUGCUGUACGUUCAAACCUGAGGCCUUAAAUAGAAACACACAAGUAUCUGAUUGAAGGAACUUCUGCAGAGUCCUGGUUCCAGAACAUGAUGAUAGAAUUAUAGACAAACUUUAACAAAAGCUGCCUGAGAGUUUACAGGUUUUUAUGUUGGAUUUCUUCAGUAAUUUAAUGAGAUUUAUCAGCAAAAAUCAAGUGUUCAUUUGAUGAACUUCAUUUCCUAAAACAUCCAGAAUUGGAGCUCAUAUCUUUGGCAGUUGUAAAGUUUCUGCUCCUUCAAAGUUCACAACACAAUAAAUGAAUUCCUAAAACACUCUCAAUGCUGGAGAGUGUUUGAUGCUGAAGCAGUGAUCAGUUUUUCUGUUUCUUCUCUGGAGAUGCACAAUGAGGGACGUCUGCAGUGACUGAGAAAGAGUCUCACCACAUCCUGACAUGAGGAAAAAGACUUUAUUGAAGACUACAAUGAGAAAAACUAUCAGACAGCAGACGGCUGCAUUCAAGUCUGUAGCUGCUGAAUUCAUGGAUGAAUCAUCUGGCACUAGAGAGGAAGACCAUCAAAUAUCCACGUCAGCUGAUGGAGGUCCAAGAGUCUCACCCAACAACCAACCUACAGAGUGAAGACCUUGAAUCUGAUUGGACGGCCUCCUAUUCAGCCACAUGUGUGAACAAAUGCCUCUAAGCUGAUUUGUUUUCUAAAAUAAAUCUAGUUUGAGUCCUAAUCUAUGCCUGUGUGUUUGCUUCUGUACACCGCUGUUAACAGUUUAGGCUGUUAGAUUGUUCCAGAUAAGACAAGUACAAGAUUCUUCAGAGCCGUUCUACCACGAGCCUGACAGGAAGAACUCUAACAGCUACUGAAUGUUCCUGUGGUUCCCUCAAGGCUACAGGAGGAGUCCUACGAGGACGAGCCGGUCCACCUGAUGGAGGCCAGUCGCUGCAGUUCAAAGCCAACACCGACUAUGUGGACUUCUACUGGACCACACGGAGGCCUUCAAACCGGACCAACAAGUUCAGCGACUCCCCGACUCGUGGGUCUGAGGACGCCGCCAAGCCUCGGUCCAGCCGGCCUCCUGUCUGGGUGUUUGAGUGCUGAGAGACUUGACCGUGAAUACCAUUGACACCCACCUGAGGGAGACGCUGUCUAAGAUCUCAAGGCUGCUUGGUCGUGGUCUUUCUGGUCCUGCUCCAGAACGCCUUCAUCAACUACGUCUUCUAUUAAAGAGGCCCUCAGAUGCUGCAAUCUCUGACCUUAAGGAGGAACUGCUACUUUCACUCUGUAACGAGACGGUGAUUAUUUUAAAGACCCAGCUCCUGGCGGCUUUGAGUGAAAAUUUAACAUCCAUCAAAACGGAACUACAGACAGUUAAAUCUGAGCUGUCAGUCAGUAUUUCAAACAUCAAGUCCGACCCGGCUGCCCUAAAGCACGCUGUGGGUGAAACGGAAACUUCACUCUCCACAUCACCGACGACAUCGUCACACUCCAAAGCAGAGCACCUGUCUGCUGAACUUUUAAAAGUGGACUAUAAAUGUGAACAAUGUGAGCAGCAGCAGACUGUGAGCAGCAGAAC